GCUCCGAACUGGCACGCGACGACCCGCGCGGCAGCUUUGAGGCUAGAAGUCCCGCGACAAACUUUCUCCAGCGCCGCCGCGGGGUUACACGUCGCUUCCCGGAACGUCAACACGUGGACAACCGUCAUCAUGUAGGUGAAGCGCGGUGGAAACGAGCCUCAGGUGAAGGUUCAGCGUGCUGGAAGAAGCCAUCACUGCCGCCAUCACAGCCAUGAGCGAACCCAAAACCUGCAGCACCACGCUCCUCCUCCUGGAUUCUCACAAAGACAUGAAGGAGCUCCACCUGAUAUAUCAGGAACAUCUGUGACACCAGUUCUGAACCCUGUGGAACUCCUAAACUAACAGCUGAUUCGGCCUGACAGAGAGUGACAUUUCUCACCUUCAUCAGCAUUUCUUCGUGCUCGGCGUUUUCACAGUCGUAGGGUUCCCGGCGCAGUUUCUCCACCUCCACCACCAGGUUCCUGUAGCCCACGAUCUGCAGCAGGCUGGCCUGCAGGGAGAUGCUGAGCCUGCAGAGACGGAGGAGAUGCUGACAUUCAGGAAAAACUCUGACACGUCUGACAGCCGUCGACAACAGAAGCGGGCCUCACUGGGGGUUGGUGUCCGGGUUUAUCUUCUUCAAGGCCAUGAUGUCGUCGACGGUCUUCUCCACCUUGUCAGGGUGGAUGCUGAGGGCAGACUGCAUCAGCUGCAAGGCUUCUGGCCGAAGACGUCAUUGAAAGACGAUGGUGUCUGCAGUUAAAUCUGUCAGGAAAAGCUCAAAGAACUCAUUAUAGAAUCAAUUUCCUUGUUGCUGCUGGUGAUAGACGUGUAAUGAAUGUGUCUGAUGAGUUUUUAGUUGAUGACGCUGCCUGGGCUGUCCUCCUGCAGUCGAUAAACUCAUCCUCCUCUUCCUCCUCGGAGCUGCAGUUUUGGCUCACUGGACUCUUUAUCUGCCUGAUUGAUGCUCUGUUGUUCUUCUGCUGUUACUUCAAAAUCUGUUCUUUUGUUACUUUUAAGAAAAAAAGGAAUUCAAGAGUAAAUAUAAAUAACAUGAUUAUCAAAAUAGACUAUAUUUCCAGGUUUCCACUUCAGUCUCUAUAUUUCUAUUUAUGCUUUUAUUCAUGUCAUUCUUUGUUUGAGCUAUUCUAGGUAUUUUAUAAUUUCCUUUUAAUUGAUUUAAGCCUGUAAAUCACUUUGCUUGACUGCUGUAUGAAAAGGGGUUUAUAAAUAAAGUUUGAUUGAAUAUAAUCUUUCUUAUAGAAGCAGAGAAACUUUCAAAUGGGACAGAAUCCCCUAAAACCCCAGUGGGCCGAUGAGACAAACUCAGGAGUUUAGAUCAAGAACCAGGCACGGUGGUGGAAGCAUGAUGGUUAGGGGGACUCUUCACAACUGAGGAAUCUUUAAAUUCUCUUCUGAAGCAGAGAGUCCACAACAGUUUGAGUCUGUAGGUUCUGCUCCAGAGCAAGAAUCCAAACACAACUGGAGGUUCUGAGGUCCAGUCUGGACUUUGAAUGCUGUUAAAUCGUUCUUUCUAUAAAAAAUAACGACCAGUUUUUGUAAAUAACAUAAACUGUUCUCCUGGAACAUUAAAGUAUCAUUUCAGAAUUUUUUUUCACUGAAUUUAAGGUGAAAGUAUGUCAACAUGCAGCUGUUUUUACUAGUUAUUUGUCAUUUAAAAUGUGUUACUUGAUAUUUAUUGUUUUCCUAAUUGGAGUAUUGAUCAUACUUGGUUUUUGUUUAUCGUUUUUAUUGUUUUUAAAGUCUUUAUUUCCCUUAUUCACCCCUAUAAUGCUAAUUUAUAUUUAAAAAAACUAAUCUUCAUGGGAUUAUCAAAUUCUUAUUUUUUAGGAGUUUAUAUUCUCAUCAGGCUGCAUUCAGGUUCACAUAAUGAAAAGAAGGAUGUAAACCUCUGUUGAUUCUAUUACACAUGAAGUAUUCUUGCUUUGAUGGCUUAAAAAAACAUUUCUAAUCUAAAGACGACGUGAAGGAAUCAGCCAUCUUCAGGUUAGGAUUCAUGUUGAAAACAAAAAAAUGUAAAAAUAUUCAAAUUGUUUGCAAAAUAUACAAAAUCCUUUUCUCUAGGAGAGAAUGUGGUCUAUUGACUGUAUAUGAGAAUUGAACUGAGUGACUCCUCCCCCCUGGUCCUCCAAACAGGAAGUAGCUGCUGGUUUCAAGAAGCCAAAAUCCCAAAGACUUCAAU